CCAGAGGUACCCAAGUGGCCAACGGGGGCAGACUGUAAAUCUGCUGGUUUAUACCUUCGGAGGUUCGAAUCCUCCCCUCUGGA
rnacentral:tRNA from 1 species